rnacentral:rRNA from 1 species
UACGUAGGGUGCAAGCGUUUGUCCGGAAUUAUUGGGCGUAAAGAGCUCGUAGGCGGUUUGUCGCGUCUGCCGUGAAAGUCCGGGGCUCAACUCCGGAUCUGCGGUGGGUACGGGCAGACUAGAGUGAUGUAGGGGAGACUGGAAUUCCUGGUGUAGCGGUGAAAAUGCGCAGAUAUCAGGAGGAACACCGAUGGCGAAGGCAGGUCUCUGGGCAUUAACUGACGCUGAGGAGCGAAAGCAUGGGGAGCGAACAGG